rnacentral:tRNA from 1 species
UAUUCUAGAUAGAUUCUCUUCUAUACUUUUAGGAUGAAAACCUAAUGUGCAAGUUACACCUCAAGAAC